rnacentral:rRNA from 1 species
AACGAACGCUGGCGGCAUGCCUAACACAUGCAAGUCGAACGAAGCCUUCGGGCUUAGUGGCGCACGGGUGCGUAACGCGUGGGAAUCUGCCCUUUGAUUCGGAAUAACAGUUGGAAACGACUGCUAAUACCGGAUGAUGACGAAAGUCCAAAGAUUUAUCGCCAGAGGAUGAGCCCGCGUAGGAUUAGCUAGUUGGUGUGGUAAAGGCGCACCAAGGCGACGAUCCUUAGCUGGUCUGAGAGGAUGAUCAGCCACACUGGGACUGAGACACGGCCCAGACUCCUACGGGAGGCAGCAGUGGGGAAUAUUGGACAAUGGGCGAAAGCCUGAUCCAGCAAUGCCGCGUGAGUGAUGAAGGCCCUAGGGCUGUAAAGCUCUUUUACCCGGGAUGAUAAUGACAGUACCGGGAGAAUAAGCCCCGGCUAACUCCGUGCCAGCAGCCGCGGUAA